ensembl:lncRNA
CCAGCGACCAUUUCCAUUCUUCUGUUUCGAUGAUCCCUGUCUGAAAAACAAUGAUAGCAGAAUGAGGGAGAAAAAUAAAGCCUCGCUGCUGAGGAAGUACAAAGAGCCCCAUCUAUUUAAAUGCUGGGGCAUUUUUUUUUUUUAAUUGAAUAACAAUUCCCAGGAUCCAUUGAUCUUUACAUUAGUUAGAGCGUCCUACAAGGACAGAAACCAUGAUGGGGAGAGUGUGAGUAAUGAGCUCGCAGCUGAGUGAAUCAUUUCCCCUACAGCUUUGUGUUUGUAGAGAGACAGAUGGUGGGAGCUGUGGAGAGGGAGAGGGUGGGGAAAGGCAGGUUUCUGCAAACAACAUAAGUAGGGAGAGGACGGAGGAAAAGAAAUAAUCGGCAGGUGAGGGAGAAGGAGAGGCUGGAAACACGCAGGCUGCUUCAAAACUAACAUGUUCAUGCUAAAAGAGAUUAGGGUUACAGGGAACUUUAGGAAGGAAAUUACAGAAAACAAGAGCCUUGAGGCCAGGAGAGGAAAAUAUAACAGGAGCAGCCCUAGAAAUGCAUCUGUAAAUCUCUUCAGUCAGUCAUUAACUUCAUGUGCAAACAGUGAGGCAGUAGCUUUCAGCAUGCGAGCACCCCUCCCGCGGGUGGGCACUGCUGCCAGCAGGAGCUGCUGAGCUGCAGGCACGAAGGCAUUGCCUUCAUAGUACUGCAGAGGUACUGGGGGCUGCUCCCUAGUGCCUGCACAUCUGUGGGGUGUGGGAGGGAAAUGCACCGCCCAAAAUGAGAGCAAACACUGGGAUGAGGGCAGCAUGAAGGGAGAGACAGAACUCAGUGAGAAGCAGCCUGUCUCGCAGGCUUGCCAGAACUCCAAUGACAUGAAUGUGUGUGAAGAUUUUUUAUGCCAGCCACCUGUGUGACAGAAAUACGGUAGUAAUGUUUUCAUCCCACAGAUAAGCUACAUCGGUGUCUCCAGAGAGGGAACCGUAUGGUGGGUCUGGUACAAAGGUAAUCCUAUAAAACCCUGCGUGCAAGACAUGAAAUGCUGUUCCCGGAGCUGAUUUUCUCCCAGAGAGCCCUUCAAGCCACCAUCAUUCAGUACCACAUAACAGAGCCAUGAGGCAGACAGCCUCAGGACCAGUGGCAGGGCAGGCAGGGGGCAGCCUGUGGGGCAGACUCACUGCAAGGACUGGUUGGGACCUCUCCCCAGCCUGCAGCCCACCUCGGGGCCUGGCUGCAAGCAUUUGGAAGCUCCAUCUCCCUGAGUAAAUAAGAGCACUACAACUACUGCCUACGCUGUGACAGAACAAAAAGUCCUUUG